UACGUAGGGUGCAAGCGUUGUCCGGAAUUAUUGGGCGUAAAGAGCUCGUAGGCGGUUUGUCGCGUCUGGUGUGAAAAUCCAGGGCUUAACCCUGGACCUGCAUCGGGUACGGGCAGACUAGAGUGCGGUAGGGGAGAUCGGAAUUCCUGGUGUAGCGGUGAAAUGCGCAGAUAUCAGGAGGAACACCGAUGGCGAAGGCAGGUCUCUGGGCAUUAACUGACGCUGAGGAGCGAAAGCAUGGGGAGCGAACAGG
rnacentral:rRNA from 1 species